rfam:Triticum urartu cultivar G1812 contig278793, whole genome shotgun sequence.
UAUAUACUCCCUUCGUCCGAAAAUACUUAUCAUCAAAAUGGAUAAGAAAAGGUGUAUCUAUAACUAAAAUACGUCUAGAUACAUCAUCUUUUAUUCAUUUUGGUGACAAGUAUUUCUGAACGGAGGGAGUAUAUU